rnacentral:rRNA from 1 species
AUCAGCCUUUUGGGUGUGAUUUUGUGGAGCGUGAAGAGUUAAACGCCUUCAUGCCUGCAUAUUCGUGCACUUUGGGUGUACUUGCCCGUGUGGUUGGUUAACAUCAAUUUUGGUGGUCAUAAAAUGACUGGAGGAAUGUAGCUUCGAUCUUGUACUGAAGUGUUAUAGCCUUCGGUAGAUGUGAUGAUCGAGGUUGAGGAUUGCAACGGAUACCCUUCGGGGCUACCUGUCUGAUCUCUGAUCGUUGUUCUGGUGCCGAAAGCUUGCUUACGGUUAUCAAAGUCGAUGGUCAAUAGGUUAGAACGGGUUAAAUUCGUUAAGGAUGUUGACGUAAUGGCUUU